rnacentral:rRNA from 1 species
UGAGGAAUAUUGUUCAAUGGGGGAAACCCUGAAGCAGCAACGCCGCGUAAAGGAUGAAGGCGCUUUGCGUUGUAAACUUUUGUAGUCGGGGACAAAUUGUGGGUUACUACCCACUUGAUGGUACCCGAAAAGUAAGGAUUGGCUAACUACGUGCCAGCAGCCGCGGUAAUACGUAGGAUCCGAGCGUUGUCCGGAUUUACUGGGUGUAAAGGGUGCGCAGGCGGACUGGUAAGUCAGAGGUGAAAUCUCGUCGCUCAACGACGAAACUGCCUUUGAUACUAUCAGUCUUGAGUCCGGUAGAGAUCUGUGGAAUUCCGAGUGUAGCAGUGAAAUGUGUAGAUAUUCGGAAGAACACCAGUGGCGAAGGCAGCAGAUUGGGCCGGUAUUGACGCUCAGGCACGAAAGCAUGGGGAUCAAACAGG